rnacentral:lncRNA from 10 species
CACAGUUUCCUCUCCUUAGGAAAAAAUAAAUCUCUCAACCUCUCUUCAACUAAAAAGGAAAAAUUAAAAGAAGAAGAAAAAGAAAAAGAAAAUCCCAGCUGACCCUCACAGUUUGUGCAACUCGGAAUCACCAGCCACCCUCAGUCAGCCUCCUCUCCCUGGAAGCCCCCUUCCUGCCUCGGGCAGCCUCCAACACACCUGGAAAUCACCCGAGGACCUUAAAAAUUCGGAUGUUUGAGUCCCACCUGAGAAAGUCCGACAUGGUUGGUCUGCAGUGUGGCCUGCGCAUGAAAGGAUCAAGACGUCAGAAAUAACCAAAGCAAAGGAGUUGCUGAGAACCCUGAGGAAGCAAACUGUCUUGUCAUGGCAAAGACCUGAGAGUGAGUGGCAACUGCUAACUAGAAAACAGAGACCUCAGCCAAACAACUACAAGGAAAUGAAUUCUGCUCAACCUGUGGGAGGUUGGAAGUAGUUCUCUCCCUAGCCAAAUCCCCAGCAGAGGACACAGCCAGCCGGCAUCUUAACUUCAGCCUUGUGAGACCCAGAGCUCACCAGGCG